UGGGGAAUAUUGCACAAUGGAGGGAACUCUGAUGCAGCGACGCCGCGUGAGUGAUGAAGGAAUUCGUUUCGUAAAACUCUGUUCUAUGGGAAGAAAAGGACUGUACCAUAGGAGAAAGCUCCGGCUAAAUACGUGCCAGCAGCCGCGGUAAUACGUAUGGAGCGAGCGUUGUCCGGAAUUAUUGGGCGUAAAGGGUGCGCAGGCGGCUUUACAAGUUGGAUGUGAAAUAUUGUGGCUCAACCACAAACGUGCAUCCAAAACUGCAAAGCUUGAGUUAAGGAGAGGUAAGUGGAAUUCCUGGUGUAGCGGUGGAAUGCGUAGAUAUCAGGGGGAAUACCGGUGGCGAAGGCGACUUACUGGACUUAAACUGACGCUCAGGCACGAAAGCGUGGGGAGCAAACAGG
rnacentral:rRNA from 1 species